UACGGAGUUACAAAGGACGACAUUAGACGAAUCAUCUGGAAAGAUGAAUCAAAGAAGGUAAUAAUCCUGUAGUCGAAAAUGUUGUCUCUCUUGAGUGGAUCCUGAGUACGACGGAGCACGUGAAAUUCCGUCGGAAUCUGGGAGGACCAUCUCCUAAGGCUAAAUACUCUCUAGUGACCGAUAGUGAACCAGUACCGUGAGGGAAAGGUGAAAAGCACCCCGGAAGGGGAGUGAAAUAGAACCUGAAACCGUGUGCUUACAAGUAGUCAGAGCCCGUUAAUGGGUGAUGGCGUGCCUUUUGUAGAAUGAACCGGCGAGUU
rnacentral:rRNA from 1 species